rnacentral:rRNA from 1 species
UGGUUGAUCCUGCCAGUAGUGUAUGCUUCUCCUAAAGACUAAGCCAUGCAUGCCUCCGAAUAAGAGGAAGCAAUUCUCUCUGAAUCUGCGAACGGCUCCGCAAACCAGUUGUAAACUAUAGCAAGUUAGCACGGGGAUUCUGGCUUUCACGAGUUGGGUCCCCGGGCGAUAUGGAUAACCCUGGUAAUUCUGAGGCUAAUACAAGAACGUAAUCCCUGAUCAACCGGCCUCGGCUGGAAGGUUGGGAAGCGUGUGAUGGUUUCGUAGGAAAAACCGGGAAUGGGUGCACGCUUGGACCGCGAUAAAAAAGGAUCGAGUAAACCCGACCUCACGGAAGGGAAUGCUCGGCCCUAGCGGCUCUUGCGGUGUGCUUCUGACCUAUCAACUAGACGGCAGCGUAAGGGACAUGCUAUGGUUACAACGGGUACAGAGGAUUAGGGUUCGAUCCUGGAGAGUGGGCCUGAGAGAUUGCUCAUACUUCUAAGGAAGGCAGCAGGCGCGCAACGUUCCCCUUGGGCAAUGCUCGAGGGCGUUAGGGGACAUAUGAAUGCCUGCCUUAUUGGUGGGCAAUUCAAAUGGGUCUGUUGUAAACGGCCUCUCGAGUAACAAUUAGAGGAC